rnacentral:rRNA from 1 species
UACGAAGGGGGCUAGCGUUGCUCGGAAUCACUGGGCGUAAAGCGCACGUAGGCGGAUCCUUAAGUCGGGGGUGAAAUCCUGGAGCUCAACUCCAGAACUGCCUUCGAUACUGAGGAUCUCGAGUCCGGGAGAGGUGAGUGGAACUGCGAGUGUAGAGGUGAAAAUUCGUAGAUAUUCGCAAGAACACCAGUGGCGAAGGCGGCUCACUGGCCCGGUACUGACGCUGAGGUGCGAAAGCAGUGGGGAGGCAACAAGG